UCAUUCCUACGGGAGGCAGCAGUGAGGAAUAUUGGUCAAUGGUCGGGAGACUGAACCAGCCAAGCCGCGUGAGGGAUGAAGGUACAGAGUAUCGUAACCCUCUUUUGUCAGGGAACAAAGGCGGGGACGCGUCCCCGGAUGAGUGUACCUGAAGAAAAAGCAUCGGCUAACUCCGUGCCAGCAGCCGCGGUAAUACGGAGGAUGCGAGCGUUAUCCGGAUUUAUUGGGUUUAAAGGGUGCGCAGGCGGUCUUUUAAGUCAGCGGUCAAAACCCGGGGCUCAACCCCGGCCCGCCGUUGAAACUGG
rnacentral:rRNA from 1 species